rnacentral:ncRNA from 1 species
UGAUAGCUGUGAAGCGUGAGGUUGCUGCCGAGAUGGCAGGUUUUCCGUGGAGCGAAUGUCAAGUUAGGAAACUGACGACAA